rnacentral:rRNA from 1 species
GACAGAGGCCCCAAGCGUUAGGCGGAAUCACUGGGCUUAAAGCGUGUGUAGGCGGAUCGUUAAGUGUCUUGUGAAAUCCCACGGCUCACCCGUGGAACUGCUGGGCAUACUGGCGAUCUUGGGCCAACUAGGGGCAGUCGGAACAAGCGGUGGAGCGGUGAAAUGCGUAGAUAUCGUCAAGAACACCGAUAGCGAAGGCAGCUUACUGGGCUGUAACUGACGCUGAUGCACGAAAGUGUGGGGAUCAAACGGG